AAUAUUGGACAAUGGGGGCAACGCUGAUCCAGCCAUGCCGCGUGUGUGAAGAAGGUCUNCGGAUUNUNAAGCACUUUAAGUUGGGNGGAAGGGCUUUAGGCUAAUACCCUGAAGUUUUGACGUUACCAACAGAUUAAGCACCUGCUAACUUCGUGCCAGCAGCCGCGGUAAUACGAAGGGUGCAAGCGUUAAUCGGAAUUACGGGGCGUAAAGCGCGCGGAGGUGGUUCGUUAAGUUGGAAGUGAAAGCCCCGGGCUUAAACUGGGAAUUGCUUUCAGAACUGACGAGCUAGAGUACGGUAGAGGGUAGUGGAAUUUCCUGUGUAGCGGUGAAAUGCGUAGAUAUAGGAAGGAACAUCAGUGGCGAAGGCGACUACCUGGACUGAUACUGACACUGAGGUGCGAAAGCGUGGGGAGCAAACAGG
rnacentral:rRNA from 1 species